UACGUAGGGUGCAAGCGUUGUCCGGAAUUAUUGGGCGUGAAAGAGCUCGUAGGGCGGUUCGUCGCGUCGGCUGAUUGAAAUCCCGAGGCUCAACCUCGGGUCAUGCAGUCGAUACUGGGCGGACUGGAGUUCGGCAGGGGAGGACUGGAAUUCCUGGUUGUAGCGGUGGAAAUGACGCAGAUAUCAGGAGGAACACCGGUGGCGAAGGCGGGUCUCUGGGCCGAAUACUGACGUGAGGAGCGAAAGCGUGGGGAGCGAACAGG
rnacentral:rRNA from 1 species